CUGCCAGGGACAUAUUGAACAUUCUGGGUCUUUCUUCUUGAGAUCUCUUGAUUUGGAUACCCUCCUAUCAAUGCAGAUUAGGCAUUGUUUUUCAAUUUUCCAAUUUCAUAGGGUUGCAUGGGGCACCAAAAGGUUAAAUAAUUUGUCCAGGGUCACAGAUAUCAUUAUUGCAACUCCUGCCUUCUUUCUAUCAGUUGAGGCCCAGAAGGUCUUACUCCAUCCUUUAAUUCUGACCUUGUGUGUUUCUUGAAGACAACAUCCUUUCUGCUAUUCGUCUAUGUUUUAUGGGUGAGUUCAUCCCUUUCAUGUUCAAAGUUAUGAUUGUCACUUGUGGAUUCCCUGGCAUUUUGAUAUCCUCCCCUAAUUCUGACCUUUCUUCUUUAGCAAUAACCUUUUAAACCAGUGAUUUACUUUAAAUUAGUCCCCUUAGUCCCCUCCCUUGAUAUUCUUUCCUUUCUAGUCCCUCUCUUUUUGUGUUCCCUCCAUCCUUGGUUUUCCCUUCUCCCUUACCUUAUUGGAUAAGAUAGAAUUCAAGAUCUCAAUGGAUCUAGAUGCUUUUCCCUCUCAGAGUUGAUUUCACCGA
rnacentral:lncRNA from 1 species